GACGAACGCUGGCGGCGUGCCUAACACAUGCAAGUCGAACGAGGUCCAUGCAGUGGCAACACUGCGGAAGAUCUAGUGGCGAACGGGUGAGUAACACGUGAGGAACCUGCCCCGAAGACCGGGAUAACCCUCCGAAAGGAGAGCUAAUACCGGAUACCCCCACCGGAUCGCAUGAUCUGGUGAGGAAAUGGAUUCCGCUUCGGGAGGGCCUCGCGGCCUAUCAGCUUGUUGGUGGGGUAACGGCCCACCAAGGCAUCGACGGGUAGCUGGUCUGAGAGGACGAUCAGCCACACUGGGACUGAGACACGGCCCAGACUCCUACGGGAGGCAGCAGUGGGGAAUCUUGCGCAAUGGGCGAAAGCCUGACGCAGCAACGCCGCGUGGGGGAUGAAGGCUCUCGGGUUGUAAACCCCUUUCAGCAGGGACGAAUCAAGACGGUACCUGCAGAAGAAGCCCCGGCUAACUACGUG
rnacentral:rRNA from 1 species